rnacentral:rRNA from 1 species
CCUACGGGAGGCAGCAGUGGGGAAUAUUGGACAAUGGGCGCAAGCCUGAUCCAGCAAUGCCGCGUGGAUGAUGAAGGCCUUAGGGUUGUAAAGUCCUUUCGGCGGGGACGAUGAUGACGGUACCCGCAGAAGAAGCCCCGGCUAACUUCGUGCCAGCAGCCGCGGUAAUACGAAGGGGGCUAGCGUUGUUCGGAAUUACUGGGCGUAAAGGGCGCGUAGGCGGCUGCCCAAGUCAGAUGUGAAAGCCCCGGGCUUAACCUGGGAAUUGCAUUUGAUACUGGGCAGCUUGAGUUUCGGAGAGGUGGGUGGAAUUCCCAGUGUAGAGGUGAAAUUCGUAGAUAUUGGGAAGAACACCGGUGGCGAAGGCGGCCCACUGGACGAAUACUGACGCUGAGGCGCGAAAGCGUGGGGAGCAAACAGGAUUAGAUACCCCAGUAGUC